rnacentral:rRNA from 1 species
UACGGAGGAUCCGAGCGCUAUCCGGAUUUAUUGGGUUUAAAGGGAGCGUAGGUGGAUUGUUAAGUCAGUUGUGAAAGUUUGCGGCUCAACCGUAAAAUUGCAGUUGAAACUGGCAGUCUUGAGUACAGUAGAGGUGGGCGGAAUUCGUGGUGUGGCGGUGAAAUGCUUAGAUAUCACGAAGAACUCCGAUUGCGAAGGCAGCUCACUGGACUGCAACUGACACUGAGGCUCGAAAGUGUGGGUAUCAAACAGG